rnacentral:rRNA from 1 species
GUCAUAUGCUUGUCUCAAAGAUUAAGCCAUGCAUGUCUCAGUACAAGCCAAAUUAAGGUGAAACCGCGAAAGGCUCAUUAAAUCAGUUAUGGUUCCUUAGAUCGUACCCACAAUUACUUGGAUAACUGUGGUAAUUCUAGAGCUAAUACAUGCAAACAGAGCUCCGACCGGAGACGGAAGGAGUGCUUUUAUUAGAUCAAAACCAAUCGGUGGCGAGUUCGCUCGUUAUCGUACAACUUGGUGACUCUGAAUAACUUUACGCUGAUCGCACGGUCAUCGCACCGGCGACGCAUCUUUCAAAUGUCUGCCUUAUCAACUGUCGAUGGUAGGUUCUGCGCCUACCAUGGUUGUAACGGGUAACGGGGAAUCAGGGUUCGAUUCCGGAGAGGGAGCCUGAGAAACGGCUACCACAUCCAAGGAAGGCAGCAGGCGCGCAAAUUACCCACUCCCGGCACGGGGAGGUAGUGACRAAAAAUAACGAUACGGGACUCAUCCGAGGCCCCGUAAUCGGAAUGAGUACACUCUAAACCCUUUAACGAGGAUCAAUUGGAGGGCAAGUCUGGUGCC